rnacentral:rRNA from 1 species
UACGAAGGGGGCUAGCGUUGCUCGGAAUUACUGGGCGUAAAGGGCGCGUAGGCGGACAGUUAAGUCAGAGGUGAAAGCCCAGGGCUCAACCCUGGAGUUGCCUUUGAUACUGGCUGUCUUGAGUAUGGGAGAGGUGAGUGGAACUCCGAGUGUAGAGGUGAAAUUCGUAGAUAUUCGGAAGAACACCAGUGGCGAAGGCGACUCACUGGCCCAUUACUGACGCUGAGGCGCGAAAGCGUGGGGAGCAAACAGG